AUUGAACGCUGGCGGCAGGCCUAACACAUGCAAGUCGAACGAGUGGCGGACGGGUGAGUAAUGUCUGGGAAACUGCCCGAUGGAGGGGGAUAACUACUGGAAACGGUAGCUAAUACCGCAUACCAUCGGAUGUGCCCAGAUGGGAUUAGCUAGUAGGUGGGGUAACGGCUCACCUAGGCGACGAUCCCUAGCUGGUCUGAGAGGAUGACCGGCCACACUGGAACGGAGACACGGCCCAGACUCCUCGGGGAGGCAGCAGGGGGGAAUAUUGAAAAAGGGGCGCAAGCCGGAUGCAGCCAGGCCGUGUGUAUGAAGAAGGCUUUCGGUUUGUAAAGUACUGUAAGGGGGGAGGCGUUACCGGAAGAAGAAGCACCGGCAAACUCCGUGCCAGCAGCCGCGGUAAUUC
rnacentral:rRNA from 1 species